rnacentral:lncRNA from 1 species
ACUUUUGGGAUAGCAUUUGAAAUGUAAAUGAAGAAAAUAUCUAAUUAAGAAAAUAAAUUUUAAAAAUGUAUUUAUGAAAUUCUUGGGCAAAUGGAUGUAUCUGGAGGGUAUCAUCCUUAGUGAGGUAUCCCCAUCACGAAAGAAGUCACUUGAUAUGCACUCACUGAUAAGUGGAUAUUAGCCCAGAAACUUAGAAUACCCAAGAUGCAAUUUGCAAAACACAAGAAAAUCAAGAAGAACGAAGACCAAAGUGUGAAUACUUCAUUCCUCCUUAGAAUAGGGAACAUAAAACCCAUGGAAGGAGUUACAGAGACAAAGUUUGGAACUGAGACAAAAGGAUGGACCAUCCAGAGACUACCUCACUUGGGGAUCCAUCCCAUAAUCAGCCACCAAACCCAGACACUAUUGCAUAUGCCAGCAAGAUUUUGCUGAAAGGACCCUGAUAUAGCUGUCUCGUAUGAGGCUAUGCCAGUGCCUGGCAAAUACAGAAGUGGAUGCUCACAGUCAUCUAUAGGAUGGAACACAGGGCCCCCAAUGGAGGAGCUAGAGAAAGUACCCAAGGAGCUGAAGGAGUCUGCAACCCUAUAGGUGGAACAACAAUAUGAACUAACCAGUAACUCCAGAGCUCUUGUCUCUAGCUGCAUGUGUAGUAGAAGAUGACCUAGUCAGCCAUCAUUGGGAAGAGAGGCCCUAGGUCUUGCAAACUUUAUAUGCCCCAGUACAGGGGUACGCCAGGACCAAGAAGUUGGAGUGAAUGGGUAGGGGAGCAGGGCAGGAGGAGGGUAUAGGGAACUUUCAGGAAAGCACUUGAAAUGUAAAUACAGAAAAUAUCUAGUAAAAAAUUUUAAAAAAAAAAUUAAAAAAAAAAACAAAACAAAACCAUGCGUGCAUCAACAGAUUCUACCAAAAGGGAGAAUUCCUACAG